rnacentral:rRNA from 1 species
CCCUUAGAUGUCCUGGGCCGCACGCGCGCUACACUGAGUGUCUGAGAUACGAGUCUGCCUAGCCGGCGAGGUCUAGGUAAUCGCUGAAAGACACAUCAUGCUUGGGAUAGAUUAUUGCAGAUAUUAAUCUUGAACGAGGAAUUCCUAGUAAGCGCAAGUCAACAGCUUGCGUUGAUUACGUCCCUGCCCUUUGUACACACCGCCCGUCGCUACUACUGAUUGGAUGUUUAAGCGAGGUUCUCGAACUGCUAGCGACUUAGCUUCGGUGAGGUCGCCGUGUGGGAAGUGAACCUAGCUUUGGUGUCUAGAGGAAGUAAAAGUCGUAGCA